GUGAGGAAUUUUCCGCAAUGGGCGAAAGCCUGACGGAGCAAUGCCGCGUGAAGGAUGAAGGCCUAUGGGUUGUAAACUUCUUUUCUCAGAAAAGAAUUAUGACGGUAUCUGAGGAAUAAGCAUCGGCUAACUCUGUGCCAGCAGCCGCGGUAAGACAGAGGAUGCAAGCGUUAUCCGGAAUGAUUGGGCGUAAAGCGUCUGUAGGUUGUUUAAAAAGUAUUCUGUCAAAGAUUAGGGCUUAACCCUAGAUAGGCAGAAUAAACUUUUAAGCUAGAGUUUGGUAGAGGCAGAGGGAAUUCCCGGUGGAGCGGUGAAAUGCUUAGAUAUCGGGAGGAACACCAAAGGCGAAGGCACUCUGCUGGGCCAAUACUAACACUGAGAGACGAAAGCGAGGGGAGCAAAUGGGAUUAGAAACCCCGGUAGUCC
rnacentral:rRNA from 1 species